UACGAAGGGGGCUAGCGUUGCUCGGAAUUACUGGGCGUAAAGGGCGCGUAGGCGGAUAUUUAAGUUGGGGGUGAAAUCCCGGGGCUCAACCUCGGAAAUUGCCUUCAAAACUGGAUAUCUUGAGUUCGGGAGAGGUGAGUGGAACUCCGAGUGUAGAGGUGAAAUUCGUAGAUACUCGGAAGAACACCAGUGGCGAAGGCGGCUCACUGGUCCAUUACUGACGCUGAGGUGACGA
rnacentral:rRNA from 1 species